rnacentral:tRNA from 1 species
CCCCCUAUGGUCUAAUGGACAAGACAGGAGACUUCUAAUCUCUUAAUCCAGGUUCGAUUCCUGGUAGGGGGU